AUGGAAAGGGAUGUGCGUUUCACUGGCUGCGGAACUAGUGAAAGCUGUCAGUUACAUGUUAUCAUCAAAUGAACACUCUCUGCUUAGGACUGAAAGGAAACAGGGUACCAAGUGUCUGGCCUCACAUCAUAGGACAAGAAUGAAUUCUGUGAAUGACUAAGGUCACCUGGGUGGCAGAGGUCAUAGAUGGGUUUCCCAAUGACAUCAUCAGAGGACCACUCACUCAAUUCAGAAAUUCUGAAAUUGCAAAUAUAA